AAUAUGGUGAUCAAUUAAUUUUUGAUAAAGAUUUAAUUAAAUACAAAAUUUUUCAAUUUAAAUUUACUUUUAAUUUGGCCCAUAAGUUGAAAUCCAAGCAGCUAACUUGGUAGAGAUGAAGUCUCAACGUUUAAGAUUUCAUUUUGCUGAAUGUUGCCUGAUAAACGAGUAUCUGUUAGUCUGUUGAAGCUUUCAAUAUCUCGCACUUGACCUUUUAUUAUUGUUUUACACUUUAACUGACCAAGUUAAUUGUUACCAUUAGGUAAUGUUAGAUCACUGUUGGUUAAUAUUUUCUUCUUGUUUUUCUUGUAUCCAUUUACUUUGCUCGGGUUUCUUCAUUCUUGAGCUGUUCAUUCAUCCAUAUUGUUUAAGGUUUUUUUUUGUUUUUCUGGUGAUAUUACAUUUGUAUUAUUUGUACUUUUUUUUGUUGAUCUUUGGUUUCGCAAAUUGUAAGUAUUGUAUUAAACCAUAUUACAAUUUUGUUGCUGUCAGUAUCAUUUUGAUGAUGAUGGUGGUGCUUGUUGUUUACCCAAAUUAUUUACUCUUCAUAGUUAAUUUAGUUGAGUUGUUUUUAUACGUUUAGCCCCCUUAACAAUUAAUCUAAUGAUUGUUGCUGCAAGUUAAUACAAUAAUAUUAUACAUUUGAGCAUUCCAACAUUUCCAGUUGUUGGUAUAGCAAUCCUGUAUUGAGGGAAACCAAUGUAAACAAAGCUAAUCGAGUCAUCUUUAGUUUCCCUGGGAUUUUCAAUUUUGGUUGUAAUCGUUUCAUCGAAAUGCGUUUGGAGAUUGAAUGCUCAAAAACUGGUUUACUUUGGGUUCAUCGUCAUUGUAAAGACUCAAUCAAUCAACCUGUUAAUCCAGAAAGACUGUAAUGGUUUGCUUGGCAGAAACACUCCUUUUCACCCAAUCGUUGACUGCUUGGUGACUUGCCUUAGGAAUCAAACGGUACUUUUUUUGGUAUCGCAAGUUAACCAGUUUCUAGGAUCCUUAAGUUAUCGACUUGGAAGAGCUUUUUUUGGUUUUUCUCAUGGAACCAUGGUCAUUAUUCAAGUCUAACAUCUAGUCUGGUUAUUUGGGAACCUGGCCUUUUGUAACAAGUCCGCUUAUCGACUGAAUUUUGAAUUUCUGAGAAGAUUCUGGUUUAGUGUCCUUUUGUGUCUUUGGAUAAUAUUUGGGAAUAUUCAAUGGAUGGUGUUUAAUCAUACGAUGCAAGCUGGACUCAUCAAAUUAUCUGAUUAUUUAACCAAGUAAAUAGUCUUGAAAGUGGUAGACAUUUGCUGUUAUUGAUUUUAUUUCAACAAUUAAACCCAAUCCAAGGAAAACAUUUACAUUAAAUGAACAAACCUUUUUUUGCUUGUUUACUUAUUAUUCAAUGGAAA